CACGUAGGCACCAAGCGUUGUCCGGAUUUAUUGGGCGUAAAGAGCUCGUAGGCGGUUCAGUAAGUCGGGUGUGAAAACUUUGGGCUUAACCCAAAGCGUGCAUCCGAUACUGCUGUGACUUGAGUUCGGUAGGGGAGUGGGGAAUUCCUAGUGUAGCGGUGAAAUGCGCAGAUAUUAGGAGGAACACCGGUGGCGAAGGCGCCACUCUGGGCCGAAACUGACGCUGAGGAGCGAAAGCGUGGGUAGCAAACAGG
rnacentral:rRNA from 1 species